rnacentral:sRNA from 1 species
AUACAACUGAGAACAAAUUGCUUGAUGCAUAUACUCAGAUUUCUGAUUUGAAAAGAAUGAUUUCAAAACUUGAAGCUCAGGUCAAGCAAGUAGAACAUGAAAAUAUGUUAAGCCUUCGUCAUAAUUCUAGAAUUCACGUGAGACCCUCGCGUGCCAACACACUAGCAACUUCAGAUGUCAGCAGGCGGAAAUGGCUGAUUCCAGGUGCAGAGUACUCCAUCUUUACUGGCCAGCCUCUGGACACCCAGGACAGUAAUGUGGACAACCAGCUGGAGGAAACCUGUAGCCCUGGGUGAGAUAACUUUGCUAAAGAUUCUAUUUAGGGAUGUUAUGUUUUCUUAGAGAUUUCAAUUGCUUUUAAAAGUUCAGGAAGCCCUCUCUUUGGUUCUUUAAUGUCUUAAUUUUGAGAACCUGACUUUUAUUUUACUUUGAAAGUCUACUACUUUUAGAAUAUUUUACUUCCGUGAGCUCUGCCGAGCUUCCCCACCUGUGCUCAGUGGCACAGUAUGGGUUUGUGAUUAGGAUAGGAUAUCGAUCCUCAGGCCAGGCGUGGUGGCUCACGCCUGUAAUCCCAACACUUUGGGAG